rnacentral:rRNA from 1 species
AGAGCGAACGCUGGCGGCAGGCUUAACACAUGCAAGUCGAGCGGGCGUAGCAAUACGUCAGCGGCAGACGGGUGAGUAACGCGUGGGAACAUACCUUUUGGUUCGGAACAACACAGGGAAACUUGUGCUAAUACCGGAUAAGCCCUUACGGGGAAAGAUUUAUCGCCGAAAGAUUGGCCCGCGUCUGAUUAGCUAGUUGGUGAGGUAACGGCUCACCAAGGCGACGAUCAGUAGCUGGUCUGAGAGGAUGAUCAGCCACAUUGGGACUGAGACACGGCCCAAACUCCUACGGGAGGCAGCAGUGGGAAUAUUGGACAAUGGGCGAAAGCCUGAUCCAGCCAUGCCGCGUGAGUGAUGAAGGCCCUAGGGUUGUAAAGCUCUUUUGUGCGGGAAGAUAAGUGACGGUACCGCAAGAAUAAGCCCGGCUAACUUCGCGCCAGCAGCCGC